CAAUAGCGUAUAUUAAAAUUGUUGCGGUUAAAAGCUCGUAAUUGGAUUUCUGCCGAGGACGACCGGUCCGCCCUCUGGGUGAGUAUCUGGCUCGGCCUGGGCAUCUUCUUGGAGAACGUAACUGCACUUGAUUGUGUGGUGCGGUAUCCAGGAUUUUUAUUCUGAGGAAAUUAAAAUGUUUCAAGCAGGCACACGCCUUGAAUACAUUAGCAUGGAAUAAUAAUAUAGGACGUCGGUUCUAUUUUGUUGGUUUCUAGAGCUGAGGUAAUGAUUAAUAAGGAUAGUUGGGGGCAUUCGUAUUUAAGUGUCAGACGUGAAGUUCUUGGAUUUGUUAAAGACGGACUACUGCGAAAGCAUUUGCCAAGGAUGUUUUCAUUGAUCAAGAACGAAAGUUAGGGGAUCGAAGACGAUUAGAUACCAU
rnacentral:rRNA from 1 species